CCUACGGGGGGCAGCAGUGGGGAAUAUUGGACAAUGGGCGAAAGCCUGAUCCAGCCAUGCCGCGUGUGUGAAGAAGGUCUUCGGGUUGUAAAGCACUUUCAGUGGGGAAGAAAGCCUUGGGGCUAAUACCCUCGAGGAAGGACAUCACCCACAGAAGAAGCACCGGCUAACUCCGUGCCAGCAGCCGCGGUAAUACGGAGGGUGCGAGCGUUAAUCGGAAUUACUGGGCGUAAAGCGCGCGUAGGCGGUCUGAUAAGCCGGUUGUGAAAGCCCCGGGCUCAACCUGGGAACGGCAUCCGGAACUGUCAGGCUAGAGUGCAGGAGAGGAAGGUAGAAUUCCCGGUGUAGCAGUGAAAUGCGUAGAGAUCGGGAGGAAUACCAGUGGCGAAGGCGGCCUUCUGGACUGACACUGACGCUGAGGUGCGAAAGCGUGGGUAGCAAACAGGAUUAGAUACCCCGGUAGUC
rnacentral:rRNA from 1 species